AUUUGGUUCAUCCACCAGGUGACGCGAGUGUCUUCGUGAGGACGAAAUAUUAGCCAUUUGUUUCCGAGACGCUGACUAAAAGUGUACUCCAAAUUCAUUACGGAAUUGCGGUGUCGAUCUACAUUUUCAGCCAUGAAAUGCAAUCUGGCAUAUAAUUUCACUUGGGUCGAAACUGCUGUCCAUUUUGCCGAAAUGUCGGCGAUUGUUAGCUGUACCUAACUACCUAUUCGGCUCUACGUCUCAUCUCGUGCAGAAACACUUCAGAGCUUGUAAUAAAAGACAGAGAUCCCUUUGCUCAACUGUUGCAGAAAUUGAAAACACAACAAAGUCUGAGCUUCAUGGCUGUCGUUCAUUAACAUGGUUUUGUUGCAGCCAGCUGGUGAAAGGUGUGAUCGAGUCAAGUUGAGCUGCAGCUGCCGCAUGCAGUUUAUCAAGCUGGUGUUAUCUAAAGUGUCACUGCAGGAAGACUUCUUGAAUUGGAGUUUGUGGUUGGUUUGGUGUUGCUGUUUGGUCUACAGUGGUUUUGCAGCCCCUUUCCAAUUGAGAGAUCCUCUGAAAUGGAGUUUGGUGCAGACUUGUAGUUCAACAUCACACUUAAAUGUUUCAUUUGCCUAUGUUGGUGUCCAUGCAGUAUAUGCAGUGUUGAACAGUUGGGUAAAAUAGUCAAUGUUGCCUGGUG